AUUGAACGCUGGCGGCAGGCCUAACACAUGCAAGUCGAACGGUAACAGGAAGCAGCUUGCUUACUUGUUGCCGAGUGGCGGGUGGGUGAGCAAUGUCUGGGAAACUGCCUGGUGGAGGGGGUUGACUACUGGAAACGUAAGCUAAUGCCGCAUUACGUCACAAGGGGAGAGAGGGGGACCUUCCGGCCUUUUGCCAUCGGAUGUGCCCAGAUGGAGUUAGGUAGUUGGUGGGGUAACGGCUCACCUAGGCGACGAUCCGUAGCUGGUCUGAGAGGACGACCAGCCACACUGGAACUGAGACACGGCCCAGACUCCUACGGGAGGCAGCAGUGGGGAAUAUUGGACAAUGGGCGCAAGCCUGAUGCAGCCAUGCCGCGUGUAGGAAGAAGGCCUUCGGGUUGUAAAGUACUUUUAGAGGGGAGGAAACGAGUAAAGUUAAUACCCUGGGUUAUUGACGUUACCCGAAGAAGAAGCACCGGCUAACUCCGUG
rnacentral:rRNA from 1 species